UGAGGUAUUUUCUGCUCAAUGAAAUUUAAAUAGCCGCAGUACUUUGACUGUGCAAAGGUAGCAUAAUCAGUUGACUUAUAAUUGAAGUCUAGUAUGAAUGGAUCAUAGGGGACAACUGUAUCUUACAUAGGAAAUAAACUUACUGAUGACGUGCAAAUACGUUUAAUAUAACAAUAGACGAGAAGACCCUAGAAAUUUGAAAUAGGUAUGUGUUUUUUGUKGGGGCAACAUAGGAACAAUUAAUUUCUUUUAUAAACAAGAAAUAUAUUUAUAGAWAGCGUAAAUUACUCUAGGGAUAACAGCGUAAUUUCUAAUAGUUYGCGACCUCGAUGUUGGAUUAGGAAUAUAUAACUUAGAAGAUUAAUAUUUUUGCUCUGUUCGAGCA
rnacentral:rRNA from 1 species